rnacentral:rRNA from 1 species
UUGGGCGUAAAGAGCUGUAGGCGGUUUGUCGCGUCUGCUGUGAAAAUCCGGGGCUCAACCCCGGACUUGCAGUGGGUACGGGCAGACUAGAGUGUGGUAGGGGAGACUGGAAUUCCUGGUGUAGCGGUGAAAUGCGCAGAUAUCAGGAGGAACACCGAUGGCGAAGGCAGGUCUCUGGGCCACUACUGACGCUGAGAAGCGAAAGCAUGGGGAGCGAACAGGAUUAGAUACCCUGGUAGUCCAUGCCGUAAACGUUGGGCGCUAGGUGUGGGACUCAUUCCACGAGUUCCGUGCCGCAGCUAACGCAUUAAGCGCCCCGCCUGGGGAGUACGGCCGCAAGGCUAAAACUCAAAGGAAUUGACGGGGGCCCGCACAAGCGGCGGAGCAUGCGGAUUAAUUCGAUGCAACGCGAAGAACCUUACCAAGGCUUGACAUAUACCGGAAACAUCCAGAGAUGGGUGCCCCUUUUGGUCGGUAUACAGGUGGUGCAUGGUUGUCGUCAGCUCGUGUCGUGAGAUGUUGGGUUAAGUCCCGCAACGAGCGCAACCCUCGUUCUAUGUUGCCAGCACGUAAAGGUGGGGACUCAUAGGAGACUGCCGGGGUCAACUCGGAGGAAGGUGGGGAUGACGUCAAAUCAUCAUGCCCCUUAUGUCUUGGGCUUCACGCAUGCUACAAUGGCCGGUACAAAGGGCUGCGAUACCGCAAGGUGGAGCGAAUCCCAAAAAACCGGUCUCAGUUCGGAUUGGGGUCUGCAACUCGACCCCAUGAAGUCGGAGUCGCUAGUAAUCGCAGAUCAGCAACGCUGCGGUGAAUACGUUCCCGGGCCUUGUACACACCGCCCGUCAAGUCACGAAAGUCGGUAACACCCGAAGCCGG